rnacentral:lncRNA from 1 species
AGGAGGCAGAUGGUCUGCAGAGUGAGUUCCAAGACAGCCUGGGCUACACAGAGAAGCCCUGUCUCAAAAAGAACAACCAACCAACAAACCAAACCAAACCCAAACCAACCAACCAACCAAGAAAAGAAAAGAAAACGACAAAAAGAACUUGAUGGCUCUGCUGUUUCUGUGCCCUGUGUGUGAUAGCACUAUCUCAAUUCCUGCAUGAUGGCACUAUCAUCUCACUUCUGCUUUUGUCCACCUCGACCCUGUACUCAUAAUUUCCAUGUGGUCCUCACACUGAGGACAAAGAGGAAAAUAUAUUGACCAAGUACAUGGGACUUUGAUGCUUGAAUUCCUUGAUUCAACUCUCUCUCUUUCCCUCCUCUUCCUCCUCCUCUUCUUCCUCCUCUUCUUCCUCCUCAUCCUCCUCCCUUCCUCCUCCUCCUACCUCUUCCCUUCCCCUCCCCUCUUCUCCUCUCUCAACGGGGUCUCUCUUUCUCAACAGGGUUUCUUUAGGUAGCCCUGAAGCCCUGACUCUCCUGGAACUCACUAUGUAGACCAAGCUGUCCUUGAACUCACAGUAUAAAGGUCUGGGCCACUACACCUGGCUUAAGAGGCGGGCGGUUGGGUUUUUCUGUUUGUUUGUUUGUUUUUUGUUUUUUCUUUUGCUCUCCAAUCCAAAAGAUUCCAUUCUUGUUUGUUAGUUUGUUUUGUGUUUGAGAUAAAGUCUCUUUACGUAGUCCUCACUGUCCUUGAACUUGCUAUGUAUACCAGAAGGCCUUAAACUCACAGAAAUACACCAGCCUCUGCUUCCUGAGUACUGUGAGUACUGGCCUGGCCCACCACACUGUGGUUUUGUUUUUUGAGACAGGAUCUCCUUGUGACCUUGGCUAGCCUUGAACUUGCUAUGUAAAUGAAGUUGAUAUUUUACUCUCUUGUCUCCGUCUCGCUAGGGCUAGGCUUAUAGCUGUGUCUCACCAUGGCCAGCUCUGGAUUCAAGUGCUUUUAUUAUUUUAUUAUUUUUAACUGUGUGUAUGUGCAUGGAAGUACAGUGUCCAAAGUGUCCGGAGACAUCCGAGCUCUUAGAGAUGUUACAAGUGGAUGCUGGGAACUGAACUCAGGUCUUCUGGGAAAACAAUAUUCGCUCUCUUAAUGCUGAACCACCUCUUCAGCCCUGGAUCCAAAUUCUUAAAUGCCAGCUCUUUUCAGUAAUCGUCUUCCAGCAAUAGCAUUCAGUCACUAUGGGUCUUUAGACAAGCUCAGUCUAUACACUUGCAUAUGCUGGUCCCAUUUGCCCAUAAUUUUCUCUUUCCCUUGCCUUUGGUUCCAAUCUAAUUCAUCCUUCAGGGCUGCAAUAAACCAUCAGCCUAACUUUAAUUCUGUGUCCUUGGCUCCUUUACCUGUAAAAUAGGAGUAGACCACAUGCCAGCCCAAGGAUUGUGAGGCUUAGACAUGGGACGCACUUGGGACGAUGCCUAGUGUACAAAGAAAACUGUGCCCAUGUUGGUCUUCAUAGAUCCUGUAAUCUGUGUCCCCACGUACAGUUUUGUUCUUCCCUGCUGGAGGGGUAUACACUUGAUACAGACAUUGCAUUCCCAUUUUGUACAUUUCAAGUGUAGAUUAUUUUGAGAUAGGUUUAGAUUU